UCCGAAGCACUUCACAAGCCAAAAUUCUACUCAAAAUAAAAACUAACCAUUUUCUUCUUCUUCUUCUUCUCUCCCAUCCAUCUUCUAUAUCACGAACAGAUCCUUAUGAACCAAAAUCAUUUUCUUCUUCAUCUCUCUAAUCCAUCUGCUAUCUCACAUAAACCAACAGAUCUUCAUGAACCAAAACAAUUAACAGAUCUCCAAUCCAUCUACUCCAUCUAUUUCAUGAUUCUUAUUCUGCUUUGAUAUUAUCCAGAUCCGUAAAUUUCUCAGAUAGAAAAAGCGAUAAGUUUGAUUCAUACUGCUUAAUGAGAUUUACAGUUUUAUUGUUUGUUUUUUUUUCUUAAGAAACGAUUUUUGUGAAAUAAUCUGUUCUUCGAUUAAUUUUUGGGGUUUUGGGUUUUGUUUACAGAUUUGUGCUGAUAGUGGAAGAUAAAUCAAAUAUUGCUAGGCUUUUUUCAUAAACUCAGAUUUCUUACAGGGGUUUUGUUUAAUAGUAAUUUCUAUUGAGUUUUUGUUUUCCAUCAACCUGGAGGAGUCAACUUCAUCUAACUAUGCUUGGCAAGACACACUAAAAUUUCAAUUUUGUACUUCACAGAGGUUUUCGUUGAAUUUGAUUUUAUUUUGAGUGUUUUUGUUUGAAUAUUACUUAUGGGUUUUGUUUAUUAUCAUGUUUUAGGGUCUGGUAUCUUGUUUAUUUGACUUAAUUUUUCUUUUUCCUCAGAUUUCUUUCAUUACUACUUCGAUGGUUUUUGCCAAAAGAAAGAGAAACAGUAUUGCUCUUCUUCUGUUUGAUAAAAUGUCUCAAUGAGCCAAUUGUCAUGUCCCUUAAAUUUGAUUUUAGUUUCUUUUAAAAAAGGUUUUGAUCAGUUGGUUUUGUUUAUUUAAGGUUUUUGAGUAAUUGGUCUUCAUAUCAAUGGUUCGUAUCUGCCAUUCUUGAUGCAUUUUUUUCUCAUGCAUAGUUCAAUGGUGCUAGCCCUCAUUUUACUGUUGUGAAUCCUUGUGCUCAAGACUUACAGGUGAAAAUUAAGCAAAAAAAAGACUUACAGGUGAAGAAGCUAUCGGAGGAGGUAAAUAAGAUCGGAUGGGUUGUUGUUAAAUUCAACUUCACAGGUGAAGAAGCUAUUGGAGGAGGUAAAUAUGACCAUGGAAAACACAUCUCCCUACACCAACACAACUGCACACCAUGUGUUCGAUAAGUUUCCUGAAAGAACAAAAAAGAGGUUAAGUGUUCUUAUAGCUUUCCUAACCUUAGUAGCCAGGUACGGGAACGAUAUCGGGAGCGAGGGCGGAAGCGAGUUGGGAGCGUGAAUUAUAUUUUUUCAGAAAUAUUAGUUAUAUUACCAAUUUUCCAAUAUUGUAAUCAAGAAAUAAGACAAGUACAUAAAUAUUUAGAAAAUGUGACUUAAGUGCAGGAAUAUAUCUCAUUCAUUGACCUCUUUUGCUUCUUGUGUUUGUUACGAGCACUCUGAACUCUCUGAACUCGCAUUUGUGCUAGUGUUUCUUGUUCUUGUGAACUUGGAGGUGUAGGGGAGGAUGGAGGGGUAACAUCAGGUGUUUGUGUUGUAAAGUAAUGGGUAAUCCACUUCAGAGGAUAGUUUUCUUAUGUUGGAUCAAUCAUCUACGGAGAACAACGUUUAAGGACACUUAACUGAUGCAAUUAAAGAUCCCGUAUGGUUUUGAAAGGGAAAUAUUUCACGUGUCACAAUAACACACAAGUUGGUGAGCAACUACGGGCAGUUAAUGGACACGCAGCAGCAGUUAGAUUGGAUAAUCAAGGGUUUUUGAGCUAUGGAAACCUCUGCAUGUGUCAGCUCCUUAUGACUUAAAACAUCCAUAUCAUGGAUUUUCAACCUUGGAAAUUUCUUAAUGUGCAGGAACACAUCGUAGAUUAACAUCCAAUGGAACCAUGCUUUAUCUUUCAAGGUACUUGCAAAUUCUGAAUUGGCAGCUCAUUCAACUUUCCGCCAUUUUUUGUGCGACAGUUUAUGUUUAUUAGGUUGGUCUCCACUGAUUGUAAGAGCAUGAUCCUUUUACAUACGUUCAUAAAUCCUAUAUUAGAAACUUAUAAUGGUGUAAUCAAUAUUUGGGUAUAUUUUUUGGGUGUUUUUAAGCGUGUGUAAACUGAAUUCAUAUAUGUAUUGAACUAGUUGUAUUUUGUACAUUGAAUUUGUAAGGUUGGUUGGAUGGUGAAAUAUUUCUCUAA